ACAAAUCAGAUUUUCCUCCUUGUUUGGUCACAGGUAAACUACCUUUUCCUGAAUAAAGCGGUCCUUGUCACUGUUCUCACCGAGCAAAUGUGCAUUUUAGUAUUUUAUCGAGUACAAUGCUAUACAAGUCUCAGUCUCAGACUUUGAACCUCGUGAUAUCUGUACUCUGACGCACUCACGAUGCAGACUAUCUCCUGUGACGUUAUGUCUCUGAAGACAGCUUGCUGUUUAUCUCUGUCCUUGGACAAGAACGGACAAGAUGAGAUGCUGCUUUUAUAUCCAUCCAAAAUAAUGCGUAACGAUUACUUCAUUAUAAUAAAUGUAUAAAAACGGUC